rnacentral:lncRNA from 1 species
UGCAAGAAUAGCACAAAGAAUUUCUGUAGAUACUUCACCUAGAUUCGCCAAUUGCUGAUACUUGCUUUAUGGUCUCUCUCCUUCCAUAUGUAUGUAAUAUACACAUUAUUUUUCUGACAAUUUCAGAGUAAGUCACAGUCAUGAUGUUCCUUUAUCCCUAAAGAUUCCAGUAAGUAUGCACUAAGAGUAAAGACAUCCUCUUAGUAACUACAGGCACAGUUAUCAAAAUCAGAAAAAGAAUGUAAAAAUAAUACAUGUACAAUACUGUUUUCUAUUCCUCAGACUUUAUUUAUUGUUUUACCAAUCAAUUGUUCCAAUAACAUGUUUUUAUGCAAAAACAUUCUGCUCCAGGAUCCAGUCCAGGGUCACAUGUUGUACUUAUUUCCUAGGUCUCUUCAGUUUUCUUUAAUCUGGGGGAUUCUUUAGUCUGGCUUUCUCUUUUGAGACCUUGACAUUUUGACCACGAUUUUGUAGCAUUUCCUCACCUAGGGGUUGUCUCAUGUUUCUUCCUGAUUAAACUGAGGUUGUGAAUUUCUGGCAGGAGAACCACAGAAGUGAGAUGAUGCCCUUUUCAGAGCAACGUCAGGAACACAUGCUUCCCAGCGCCACACAGUUAAGGAGAUGUCUGACAGUCCUCUUUUCUGUACAGAGUCCAGGUUCCUGAGAGUGAAGAAUGAUGUUCAAAAACCAAGAUCUGUGAGUCACGUAAGCUUUCUGAAACAGCUUGUCAUUUUUCACAAACAGAUCUGUUUGAAUUGUGGUGGGAUUUCAGUGACCUGUAGAAUACUUUAGGGAGUGUUGAUAGUUUUACAAAAACGAGGCUUCCUCUUGUUAAACUCUCCAUUUUAUGAGGUUUUCUUCAAUUUGUCACUCUUGUAGUUUAUGGUUUUCCAUCUAGAGAUACUGUGUGUCAAUCAGAUUUAUUCCUAACUUUUUGAUGUUCUUUCAAUACUAUUUUAACUUGUUUUAGCUCUUCUAAAACUGAUUUUCUUACUGUUUAUUAUUGAUAUAUGGAAAUAUAGUUGAUUUUUGCCUGUUGGUCUUAUGUCUAAUAAACCAAUUUACUGGUUCUGAUAAUUUAUUCGUAGAUUAUUUUGGAUGGUCUACACACGCAAUUAUAUUUCCUGAGAAAAUGGCAGUUUUAUUUCUUCCUUUUUGAUACUUAAACAUUUAGCAUCUUUUUCACACCUUUCUGCACUGGCAGGACAUUCAGAACAAGGCUGAAAAGAGAAAGAGAGAGAAGGCAUUCUUAUCUUCUCACAGUCUUCAAGGGAAAGCUCUCAGCAUUUCAUAAUUGA